rnacentral:rRNA from 1 species
AUUGAACGCUGGCGGCAGGCCUAACACAUGCAAGUCGAGCGGAUGAAGGGAGCUUGCUCCUGGAUUCAGCGGCGGACGGGUGGGUAAUGCCUAGGAAUCUGCCUGGUAGUGGGGGAUAACGUCCGGAAACGGGCGCUAAUACCGCAUACGUCCUGAGGGAGAAAGUGGGGGAUCUUCGGACCUCACGCUAUCAGGUGAGCCUAGGUCGGAUUAGCUAGUUGGUGGGGUAAAGGCCUACCAAGGCGACGAUCCGUAACUGGUCUGAGAGGAUGAUCAGUCACACUGGAACUGAGACACGGUCCAGACUCCUACGGGAGGCAGCAGUGGGGAAUAUUGGACAAUGGGCGAAAGCCUGAUCCAGCCAUGCCGCGUGUGUGAAGAAGGUCUUCGGAUUGUAAAGCACUUUAAGUUGGGAGGAAGGGCAGUAAGUUAAUACCUUGCUGUUUUGACGGUACCAACAGAAUAAGCACCGGCUAACUUCGUG